AAAGAUUGACAAUGAGAGAUGGACUAUUUAAAGUGCAGAGAGUCACCCAGUUUUAAUCAGGUAACUGUGAAUAAUUUUUGUGUCAUUAAAGAAGGA